AUACUCUUAGCUCAGUUGGUUAGAACAUGGGGUUGAUAAUGCCAAGGUCAUGGGUUUGAUCCCCAUAGGGGUGCA
rnacentral:tRNA from 1 species